rnacentral:tRNA from 1 species
UGGCUCCUUAGCUCAGUUGGAUAGAGCAACGUUCUUCUAAAGCGUAUGUCGUAGGUUCAAGUCCUACAGGAGUCAU